AACGAACGCUGGCGGCAUGCCUAAUACAUGCAAGUCAAACGAGAUCUUCGGAUCUAGUGGCGCACGGGUGCGUAACGCGUGGGAAUCUGCCCUUGGGUUCGGAAUAUCUUCUGGAAACGGAAGCUAAUACCGGAUGAUGACGUAAGUCCAAAUAUUUAUCGCCCAAGGAUGACCCCGCGUAGGAUUAGCUAGUUGGUGAGGUAAAGGCUCACCAAGGCGACUAUCCUUAGCUGGUCUGAGAGGAUGAUCAGCCACGCUGGGACUGAGACACGGCCCACACUCCUACGGGAGGCAGCAGUAGGGAAUAUUGGACAAUGGGCGAAAGCCUGAUCCAUCAAUGCCGCGUGAGUGAUGAACGCCUUAGGGCUGUAAAGCUCUUUUACCCGGGAUGAUAAUGACAGUACCGGGAGAAUAAGCUCCGGCUAACUCCGUGCCAGCAGCCGCGGUAAUACGGAGGGAGCUAGCGUUGUUCGGAAUUACUGGGCGUAAAGCGCACGUAGGCGGCUAUUCAAGUCAGAGGUGAAAGCCCGGGGCUCAACCCCGGAACUGCCUUUGAAACUAGAUAGCUUGAAUCCA
rnacentral:rRNA from 1 species